ensembl:lncRNA
ACAGAGAGCGAAACGAAAUGAGAGACGACUCACUGAAAACUGGAGACCUCAGUCUGACCCUGAAACUCCCCACAGACAGAGACACUGGAAAGUACAUCUGCAGAGUUGAGGGGAAAGGGAUCAAGAGAAAGAAAACAGUUCUGCUGAGAGUGAUGAACUGUGUGGUGGAGGUGGAGGAGGGGGUGGAGUCUGUCCAGCUGCCCUUCACAACCACACAAAACCUGCCUGAAGAUGCUACAGUGGUGUGGAAACGCAUUGACCCUGUACCAUCAGUGUUGGUUCACAUGUAUAAGAACGGCUCUGACCAGCCUCACAAAUAGCACCAGGUUUACAGAGACCGAACGAAGAUGAAUGAAGACCUGCUGAAAACUGGAGACCUCAGUCUGACCCUGAAACAGCCCACAGAGAGAGACAGUGGAGAAUACAUCUGUAAUGUCUGCAGCAAAGAAAAAUGCAUUUCAAGAGAGACCACGGUGCUAUUAAAGGUCAAAGGGAGAGUUCCGGUCCAGGAUCAAACAGGGGACAUCAGGAACAGAAGCAGCUCCAUUGAUCCGACUCCUCUGAUGGCUGAUCAAUCAGUUUGAUCUGUGCUUAGUUUAGGAUCAGCUUUUAGUUCAAGCUAAAAUCAAAGUCCCUUUCUCAUGACUACACUUUAAGAAAGGGACUGGAGCACACCAGCCUGCGUGGCAGAGUUCCAAGACUGUUGGGGGAACAAAACCCUGGACUGAUGAGUGUGUGUCAUUACACACUGCAUUUCAGAAAAGGAAGCUCAUACCAACAGUAAAAUAUGGUGGUGAUAGUCUGAUAGUCUGAGGCUGUUUUGCUGCCUCGGGACCUGCAAGACUUGCCUCCCUAAAUGGAACCAUGAAUUCGGCCCUCUUAAAGAAACAAUUCUUUAGGAGACUAUCUGGCCAUCCGUUCUCAUCUGACCUGAAGCGCACUUGGUUUCUGCAGCCGGAUAAUUAUGCAAAACACCCAAAUAAGUCAAAGUUCUUACCUGAAUCUGAUUUAUAUGCUGUGACAUGACCUUAAAAAGGUGGUUCAUGCUUGAAAACCCAGCAAUGUGGCUAAAUUACAACAAUUCUGCAACAGUGAGUGGGCUGAAAAUCCUCCACAGUGCUGUUAAAGAUUUAUUGCAGGUUGUUACAAAUGCUUGGUUGCAGUUAUUUAUUAAAUUCAGGGGGCAAUAGCUUUUUCUGACAUGUUCAUCUAGGU